AAAAAGAAAAUAUCACCGACCAUAUAGUAAAGCCCCUCCCCCUCCUCCUUCUCCGCCUACCUAGAAACAGCGAACAACAACAAAGACGAGGGCGCUGCACGCAUACUGUGCCGCUUCUCUUCUUCGUCUUUUUUGUUCGGGGCGGGGGGGAUAUUUGCGCCUAACGGUUAAGCUCGCGUGUGCUCCUCUUCUGCCCUUCUUUUUUUACCUUCGUUCAUCUGCUUGCAAACGCUUCGAAAUAGGAUUAUGCAUCUGCGCACGGUUUCUUUUCCAUAUCCCCUCUGUAUUCCUCUCAACAGGUUCCCAUUACCAACGCUCAACCGCGUUGGCGCACGCCUUUGUGAGCCUGUGUGUACGACAAGUACAUCUUGUGUACUGAAGCGCUGCGCUUCUGUCUUACGUGCGUCUGCCGUCUUGUUGCUCGUCAGUCUUUGCAGGCUUUAUAUCGCGAACCGCUUCGUUUUGAGCAUCGUUGCUUUUCUCUUUUUUUCUGUCUGCGUUGUGACCAUCUCUUUUUUUUCGCAUUUGUUGUAUGCUACCUCACCUUCCCAUUCCCCGUGUGUGCGUGCGCAUCUACAGCUACUACCCGGAACGCUGGAUUGGACGCUGCGCGUUGUGCCGGCCGCCGUACAGGCACGUAAGAGGAUACGCUACCUCAUGUUGUCGUCGUAGAGGUUACAGCCGAGGCAACCGUUCAUCGUCGCCACGAGCGCAGAAAAGAGCUGGUGCAGAGGAGGUGCCGAGAGUACUCAGACCAGUCAGGACGGACAGCAGCAUUUCGCUUCCCAUUGCCUUCACAGACUUUUUUUUUGUUGUUCAGGGCGAAGAGAAGGAGAGGUGCUGUACGCACAUACCACCGUUGACAGAAACAGACAGGCCGAGAGACGCACUUCCUAGUGCCUUUGCUUUCCUGCUGCGUUCAACCAUUUUUUUUUGUGUUUCUUCCUUUUCUCUUCAGGUAAGAGUACUUACACCAUUAAGGUGCACGGCCCGCACCGUCCCUUCCCCCUUCCCCCUUCCUACCCCCCCCCACAUCCUCCUUAACUUCUCUGGGGGAGGGAGAAGACGGCUAAUCUUUUCAACCUUGUUUUUUUUUCUUCAAAGGACGGAAGGCAUUAACCAUCACUGGUGCUCAGAAUCAUCGAAAGGAAAAGAGAGACGCGGUACCCCGGGGUUAGCAUCCCAGCCACAGGCAUACACACCCACACCUGCACAAUCCACAAGCAAAACGACACAUAGAACGAUGGCGAGCUCUACCUCACCCUCCUCCUCCACAGUGCCGCAGACGCUAAUAGAGAAACUGCUGACGGUGCGUGGUGCCUCCGCACAACGCCAGGUGCUCAUCAAGGAGGAGGAUAUACGCGUGGUGUUGGAGACUGUCCGAGAGAUUUUUAUAACGCAGCCAAUGCUCCUCGAGAUCCGCCCGCCUGUGCGCGUGUGUGGCGACACGCACGGACAGUACUACGACCUGCUGCGCAUCUACGAGAAGUGCGGCUUCCCCCCAUACUCGAACUACCUGUUCCUCGGCGACUACGUUGACCGCGGCAAGCAGAGCGUCGAGACGAUCGUCCUGCAGUUCUGCUACAAGAUUGUGUACCCCGAGAACUUCUUUCUUCUGCGCGGCAACCACGAGUGCGCUAGCAUCAACAAGAUGUACGGGUUUUUCGAUGAUGUGAAGCGGCGGUAUAACAUCAAGCUGUUCAAGGCGUUCACGGACGUGUUCAACACGAUGCCCGUGUGCUGCGUGAUUAGCGAGAAGAUCAUCUGCAUGCACGGUGGCCUUAGUCCUGACCUGACCGAUCUUACCGCCAUUAACGAGAUUCUUCGUCCGUGCGACGUGCCUGAUCGCGGCAUCCUGUGCGAUCUGCUGUGGGCCGAUCCAGAAAACGAAGUUCGCGGCUUCCUGGAGAGCGACCGCGGCGUGAGCUACCUGUUCGGCGAGGACAUUGUGAACGACUUCCUGGAUAUGGUGGACAUGGACCUGAUUGUGCGCGCGCAUCAAGUUGUGCAACGUGGCUACGAGUUCUUUGCGAGCCGUCAGCUUGUGACCGUGUUCUCUGCGCCGAACUACUGCGGUGAGUUCGACAACGACGCUGCCGUGAUGACCAUCGACGACAAGCUGCAGUGCUCCUUCCUCAUCAUUCCGGCUGCCAAGUAGUGACGGAGCGGCACCACCGGGCCCCAAAAGAUGCUGACGCGGCCUGUUUGAAUAAUUUUUUGUCUGUUAUUUCACCUGCAUCCGCCUCCUCGGGCUCUUGAUAUGAGGCCGCACACGGGAGAGUGCUCAUCCCUUUCUCUCACUUCUGUAAGUUCUUGUGUUGCCCGUUGCUUCCUGUUUUUUCGGCUUGAUGAUAUCGACCGCGGUUACGAGAGACACCUUGGCAUGGUAUCACAGGUUCCCGUACCCGGUGUGUGUGUGCGUGGAGAAGCCGGGCAGCCCCCCUCCCCUCCUGUGCUUGCGAAAUGCCGAGCGGCUUCUGGCGGUGACAGGGUCUGGUGACUGCGACGUGGGGAGGUCAGAGCGAUGCAUUGCUACUGAUGUCGGCAGUGAGGUCGUGGGCGGCGUUGCGUCGGAGCGACCCGCGCCGCUGAACGCGUCGGCGCCAUCGACAUGAUGGGCGAAGUGCCAGCGUGACUGGAAGGCGUCGCAGCCGGCCCUCACACUGCCCGCUGGUGUGUGUGGCGGGGGGCCUGGGGCACCGCACGAGGGGGUGCGCGAGGUGGUGGCGUGCGUGAUGGGUGCGGCUGUGAGGCGACCUGCGAGGCCGGGGCGGUGCUGAGGUGACUGCGUGUGUGCGCAUUGCUGUGAGGCAUGCGUCUCUGGCUGCAUUGCACCACGCGGGGUGCGCCUGUGGCAGGGCCGGGGAGGGCUGGAGUGGGGCUUGACUCCUGUUGUAUGGCAGAGAAAUAGACACGUUGGCAAAAUAACAAAAAGCCAAUGAUAUUAUUCAGCUCUUUUUUUUAUUCUUGCUUGUAGCUGUGCUUUACCCCCCUCCUGCGCUCUCUCUAAACUGGCGAUGCGGACUUGUGUCUUGCGCAUGUGUAUGCUUCUUUGCGGGUAGGGACUCGAAGACUGUAGAUCUCUGGGUGUGGUGUCGGUAUGGCGUGUAGUAUGAUGUUGCUGCUUCGUCGGUGAUGUGGGCAUGGCACUCCGCGAAGUGUGCUCCGCGAAGGUUUUCUUCGCGUAGCGGCAGUCAAAAAAAAAACGCGUCCUUGCGAAUGUUGCAGAGCGUCAAGGGCGUAUGCGUUUGCACACUCGGGCGCUAGCGCGGAUCUCACGCACCCGAGAGAAGGAAAAGCAACUCACUGGGAACAGUAGCGAGUGAGUGAGGUAGAGCCGAAGAGAUGGAACGCACGCGCACGUACUGGGAUAAGCGGAAGAGGGGCUUUCUUGCUAUCUUUUUGUCAAUAGUUUUACGUGAAUGGCGGUGAUGGUAGUCACGCCGUUGCUGCCAGUGACCCCCGUUGCUUUCACACUCUCUCUGUGGAGAAUGUGCCGUCAUGGAGAGAAGGCUGCACUCGUUAGUGUGGAUCACGGUUUUCAAUCUACGCUCCCGCUCACUACGUGGCACUUUUCCACCUUGGAGAGCUUUUCUCGUUGUUCUCGAAUCUCGCGCGUGUGGUUGUUCGCGUUGGAAAUGGUGCCCCACUUGUGCUAGCGGUAUCCUUCAUCUACGAGAAGGCGAUGACGUGCACAAGUGUGUAUGAGGAGAGGGCGAUAGUGUGGACGCACCGCCUCCUUUAUCUACUCUCUUCGGUCACUCUAUUGAGGGGACUUCCUGCUCGACACACUCGCCCGCACAAACGCGAAUCGCAGGCGUAGGAGGGUGGAGGAGGCGGGAGAGGGGACGGCACGACUACUCGCACGAGUGCUUUCUUUGGUGGCCCCUCGUACUCUCUGCCUAGCUGCGUAUGCACCUCUUCCUUUCUGCCGUUUUGCAGGUCAGUAUGCGUCAACGCAUCUUUGUUUCAGUCGCGCUCUUCCUGAUGUAUUUUGUGUUUUGCUCCUCCGUGCUGUAGCACCGCACGCGUGUGCGCUUGUGUUUCUUUUUCUCUGCCAUGUGGCGCUCCAACGAACACCUUUUAUAACUGAGGGUCGGCCUUUUAGUCCCGUGCGCUAGUGCUCUUUACUAUCGUUUUGCAGCCUUUUUCGUCCUCCGUUUUUUAUUUCCUUUCCGUUUUCCCCCCAUCUUUCCUUAUUUCGUUCACCCGCUAGAAAGAGUGCAUGCAUAGUCAUCAACAACCGCAACGUCAACUCACCGACGUGCGAAGUCGCUAAAUCACCACACAAAGCAGUGCCGCGGUAUGCAGCGCCACACGUGACUAAAGUUCAUCGGUGCACACUUCAGACUAAGAUGAGGCUCUUCCCACGGCAGCUCGUCCUCUUCCUCCCGUGAGAUCCACCCACGACCAGACGCGAUUUCCUGCACACACACACACACACACACACAAGAAAGCAGACACAACGCCCCUCUCCCCUGCCGUGCUCUGCCUUCUUUGCUUCCUAACCAUCACAUGUCUCUUUCUCUGUCGCUCCCCUUCUCAG
rnacentral:misc_RNA from 1 species